AUGGACUGGCGACCUGUCCAGGGUGGACCCCGCCUUUCGCCCGAUGUCAGCUGGGAUUGGCUCCAGCCCCCCCUGUACGCAGGAUUAGCGGCUGACGAUGGAUGGAUGUCCCCUUGGACUUCCUUUUCAUACGAAACAGAUUUGAGAAGCACGACUUCCUGACGGAGAGUCCGAUGAGCCACACUCAUGUCUGUACAGUAAAUAUGAAGCUGCUGUGAGCGGCUAGUUAGUUUAAGAAGCGCCGCCAAGGGGUCUUGGCCAUGUGACGAGUUGGGAACAUCAACAGAAAAUCGUUUGAUAGGUAAAGUGAAUGUAUGUUGUAUGUAAAAACCCACCAACAUUAAAACACAGAUCUCUGUUCCUCCAGUCUAACCAGGCUGAAAUCAGUCUUGUCACAAGCUCUCAGAAACCUUUUGACUUCCUGAAAUCAAACAGAAUGGAGGAUUCCCUCCCUCCUCUCAGCCUCCUCUCAUCCUGCAGCACAGAGACGAGGCGUUAUUCAAACACGGCGGUCAUGCCAGAGAAGGAAAACAGCACAUUUGUCCUCUCUGUGUUUAUCUGUUUGUGUUUGUGAAGGCUUUCUCUCCUGAGAAUAAACGCACUCUAUCUCUA